rnacentral:rRNA from 1 species
GUGAGCUAACAGUUUAAUAUUGAGGCAGCAGUCGAAGGCAGAGCUAAUGAUUGGGGUGAAGUCGUAACAAGGUAGCCGUAGGAGAACCUGCGGCUGGAUCACCUCCUUUCUAAGGAGAAAG